GAAAGUGGUGGAGACGAUAGAGAGCAGAGGGAUGAGAUUUCCCUCUUAACUGAAGAACUCAUCCAAUUAUCUGUCAAAGGAUUGAAGCCAGUUCCGAAUGAGAAACCAACCCUGAUUUGUACAAUAUGGACUAAGAAGUUUUAUAAUCAGGAAAGUUUUAGGGCACAGAUGAAGAGUUUGUGGAAAACAAAAAAGAAGUUUGAGAUUCAAGUAGCAGGACAGAACCUAUUUUUGAUAGCGUUCGAGAUGGAAGAGGAUUUGAAGUUGAUCAUGGAAGGAAGACCAUGGCUAUUUCGGAAGAGUCUAAUCCUAUUUGACAGGAUUACUCAAUUGGUGGAAAGGUCACAGAUUCGGCUCAAUUCCUCACCGGUCUGGCUAAAGGUAGGUCCACGUUUACCAAAAUUUGACAAAAAAAUUUUAUUACAUGCCAUAGGUGUCACUUUUGGAGGGAUAAUCAGAUCUGGAAUCAACGGAGAAUGGUGUCGCCUAAAAAUCAAUCUCGAUGUGCAAAAACCCCUUCGAAGAGGUAUUUUUGUCUCAGUGGAUAAUAGGAAUAAAUGGUGGAUUUCUUUUAAAUAUGAGAAAUUACCAACUUUUUGCUUUGGAUGUGGGAAGAUGGGGCAUGGACUCUCAGGUUGUAACUCACUGAAUCCUGCAGAAAAAAUGAAAAUUAAAGAUCCCCCAUACACGAUGGCACUAAGAGCAGAAUCAAACUUAGUUGGAAAAUAGAAUAUUAAAUUAAAUGUUUUUUCAAAGAUGGAUAGGGUUCAAUGUUCUUAUACAGGUGGUUCUGAGCUAGAAUUGAUUGAAAAUGAAAUAGUCGGAGAAGCAAAUAAUUGGGUGGGGAUGACGCACGGGGAACUACAAGUGAACGACAAAAAAGAGGAGAUGAAGAAGCAGAAGAAAGAAGAUACAGUUAUGAUUGAUGAACGGGUGGUUGAUAAUAGGUGAAGUCAGGAUAUUAAUUUAAAUUCAAUUAAGAAGACAAGUUGGUGAAGUGUUAAUCUAGUUCAAAUGUUGGCAAAGCAAAAGGAUGAAAAUUGUAACAAGAAGAGGAAAGCUACUGAAGGACUACUGGAGACUUGUUAUAUAGAAGCUGAAUAUGGAGACGGAACCAAAAGGCUGAAAAAAGACAGAGAAAAGGAACAAGGAGAAACGUUAUUAUAAAAAGAUGGGAAACCCUAUACAACAGAGUGAUGCUAAACUACUUAUGGGAUUGGCAGCUGCCAAGAGGCAAGCCGACCGAACGCAAUGAAAAUCAUUACUUGGAAUGUUCGUGGAUUGGGGAGUCCACAAAUAGUUAGAAGGCUGCGUUACUUUCUAAAGCAGCAAAAUCCCCAAAUGGUCUUCUUAAUGGAGACAAAAAUAAAUAAGCAAUCUAUGGAAAAAGUUAGAAGAAGCUAUGUUUUUCAGAAUGGAAUUGACGUUGAUGUAGAAGGUUCCCGAGGUGGCUUAUGCUUAGCAUGGAAAGAAGAUAUUACGGUUACUUUAAGGAGUUUUUCCAAGAAUCAUAUUGAUGCAAUGAUUAUGGAAGAAACUGAUAACGAAGAAUGGAGAUUUACAGGAUUUUAUGGCUCCUUGUAUGUCAAUUUCAAGAAUGAUUCCUAGAAUUUGCUACGAAAAUUGGGACAAGAUCAAAGACACCCGUUGCUUGUUAGUGGGGAUUUUAAUGAAAUUAUGUAUUCCUUUGAGAAAAAAAGAUUACCAAGAGAUGAAAGACGGAUGGAGGUUUUUAGAGAAACCCUUGAAGAAUGCCAAUUAGAAGAUUUAGGGUAUGCAGGGGCUUGGUUCACAUGGGAAAGGGGAAAUAUGCCAGAAACAAAUGUCAAAGAAAGAUUGGAUAGAGGAGUGGCUAAUGACAAGUGGAGGAAUCUCUUUCCGACGGUUAACAUUCAUCACCUGCCUCAUUCAAUGUCUGAUCAUUGUCCACUGCUUCUUAAUACAAAAAUUGAAAAUCGCAAUGUGGGAAGCCCAAGUUUUAAAUUUGAGGCAUGGUGGACCAUGGAAGAGUCUCUUGAAGGAGAAAUUAAAGCAUCUUGUGAAUCAUCCGUAGAUAAUUUACUGGAGAAACUGGAAAAACUACAAUUAGAUUUAAAAAAUGGGCAGGAGUAAUCAAAAAAGGGCGAGAAGGGUCGAAGAAAAGGCUCACAAAGAAACUGGAGAUACUGAUGGAGGAAGAAAGAAACGAUGACAUAAUGGCAGAAAUUAUUGAUACGAAGGUGCACCUAAACUUAAAAAUUGAUAAAGACGAAAGGUAUUGGGAACAAAGGGCAAGGGCGAAUUGGCUCAUAGUAGGGGACAAGAACACAACUUUUUUUUCAUAAGCACGCCACAUCUCGUCGAAAAAAACACAAUUUCAAGACUGGAAUUAGACAGAGGAGGGGAGGUGACAGAAGAAUGUAAGAUCAGUGAAGCAACUACACUAUUCUUUCAGGAGUUAUUUUCAUCAAAAGGAGUAGGUGAGUUAUCUCACCUCUUAACAGACAUUGAAGGAAAAAUUACGCCAGAUAUGAAUGAAGACUUAAUGGCAAAAUUUACGGAAGAAGAAGUGUAUUUUGCCUUGAAAGGAAUGGGGCCAACUAAAGCACUAGGACCUGAUGGAUUUCCAACACUCUUCUUUCAACAAUAUUGGCAUAUAAUAGGUAAAGAAGUUAUCACUUUCUGUCUGAAAAUUUUAAACAGUGACAAAAUUUUGGGCCCUUUCAAUUCUACUGAUAUUGUAUUGAUCCGAAAAACUCAGAAUCCCAAGAAUAUAGCAAAAUUCAGACCUAUUAGCUUAUGUACUAUUAUCUAUAAAAUUUUAGCUAAGUAAUAGUUAAUAGACUUCAAGGGUUUAUUGGGCGAUGUAUUGAUUUGGCGCAGAGUGCUUUCAUCCCAGGAAGGCUAAUUUCUGAUAACAUCCUACUUGCAUACGAGAUCUUACACACUCUUAAACGAAAACGUACAGGUAAGAAAGGUUUUAUGACAGUUAAACUUGAUAUGAGCAAAGCCUAUGAUAGGAUUGAGUGGAGGUUUCUUAAGGAAGUCAUGCUGCGCAUGGGUUUUACAAAAGAUUGCAGUCAAUAUUAAUGGAAAAGGGGACGAAUCUUUCAAUCUUCUAGAGGGCUACGAUAAGGUGACCCCCUUAGUCCAUUCUUAUUUCUACUAUGUAGCGAGGGGAUUUUAGCAUUAAUGAGAUUGGCAUUGAAAGAAGGCUGGAUAAAAGGAGUUAAGGCAAGCAGGAAAAGACCAGGGAUUUCACAUCUACUAUUUGCAAAUGAUUGUAUUCUAUUCGGAGAAGCAACUAAUAAGGGAGUGAGGGUGCUAAAAGAGAUUCUUAAGGAAUAUGAAGACUGUUCGGGUCAAUGUGUUAAUUUCAAAAAAUCUACGAUUUUCUUCAGUACGAAUACAUCAGUCGAUGACAGAGGUGAAGUAUCAGGAAGUUUAGGUAUAAGAGGGUCAACAAACAUGGAGAAGUAUUUAGGCCUUCUUAAUGUGGUUGGAAGACGAAAAAAAGGAGGUGUUCCAAUAUCUAAAAGAUAAAGUUAAUUCUAGAAUUAAACGUUUGAGCACCAGAUUGUUAUCACAAGGAGGCAAGGAAGUUUUCAUUAAAUCCAUAUUUCAGGCAAUUCUGACUUAUGCUAUGUUUUUCUUCUCCCUAACUCCCUAUGUGACGAAUUGGAAAAGACCUUCACUACUUUCUGGUGGCAAAAGAAGUAAGGAAAAAGAGGAAUUCACUGGUGUAAGUGGCAGAAUAUGUGUCGAGCUAAAGAAGAAGGAGGUAUAGGCUUCAGGAGCAUGGCAAAGUUUAAUAUCUCCUUAUUAGCUAAACAAGGCUAGAGAAUCCUAAAUAAUCCAAGUUCGUUAAUUGCAAGGGUGUUAAAGGCUAAAUAUUUUCCAGAAAUGGAUUUCCUAAAUUCGUAUCUUGGGAACAAUAGUUCUUUUGCAUGGAAGAGUAUAUGGGCAAUUAGAGGUAUUCUGUCAGACAAAAGCUAUUGGAAAGUGGGGAGGGGUACCGAAAUCUCGAUCAUUAAUGAUAGUUGGAUACCAGAUUAUUCUAGAUUAUCAUCUUACUUUACCAAUUAUUCCAGAUUAUCGCCUCACUUCACCAAUUUUUAUGAAUAUAAAGUUGUAGAUUUAAUUGAUGACAGAAACAGAAAAUGGAAAAAAGAAUUGAUCGAAGCUACCUUCCCUGCGGAGAUAUCUGAGAAAAUCUUCUGUAUCCCGUUAGCUAAAGAUCCCCACGAUGAUUUUCUGGUCUGGAGGGGAGAGUCUUCAAGAGAAUUCACAGUACAAAGUGCCUAUAAACUAUUACAGAGCUUUGAAAAUGAUCCUAGAGCUUAUGCUUUACAAAAUGAAUCUAGGAAUUUUUAUAGGAAUCUAUGGCUCCUAAAUCUACAUCCUAAGUUAAAAAUUAUAGUCUGGAAAAUAUCAUGGAACUAUAUUCCAACUCGGAUCAACUUGAACUACAGAAGGCUUUCAAACAACGUGACAUGCGUUGGGUGUGGCAGAGCAGCAGAAUCCACAAAUCAUAUAUUUCACGAAUGUCCUAUGGCAAGAACAGUAUGGGAAGAGUUAUUAU
rnacentral:lncRNA from 1 species